GCGAGUGGCGAACGGGUGAGUAACACGUGGAUAACCUGCCUCAAGGCUGGGGAUAACAUUUGGAAACAGAUGCUAAUACCGAAUAAAACUUAGUAUCGCAUGAUAUCAAGUUAAAAGGCGCUACGGCGUCACCUAGAGAUGGAUCCGCGGUGCAUUAGUUAGUUGGUGGGGUAAAGGCUUACCAAGACAAUGAUGCAUAGCCGAGUUGAGAGACUGAUCGGCCACAUUGGGACUGAGACACGGCCCAAACUCCUACGGGAGGCUGCAGUAGGGAAUCUUCCACAAUGGGCGCAAGCCUGAUGGAGCAACGCCGCGUGUGUGAUGAAGGCUUUCGGGUCGUAAAGCACUGUUGUAUGGGAAGAAAUGCUAAAAUAGGGAAUGAUUUUAGUUUGACGGUACCAUACCAGAAAGGGACGGCUAAAUACGUGCCAGCAGCCGCGGUAAUACGUAUGUCCCGAGCGUUAUCCGGAUUUAUUGGGCGUAAAGCGAGCGCAGACGGUUGAUUAAGUCUGAUGUGAAAGCCCGGAGCUCAACUCCGGAAUGGCAUUGGAAACUGGUUAACUUGAGUGUUGUAGAGGUAAGUGGAACUCCAUGUGUAGCGGUGGAAUGCGUAGAUAUAUGGAAGAACACCAGUGGCGAAGGCGGCUUACUGGACAACAACUGACGUUGAGGCUCGAAAGUGUGGGUAGCAAACAGGAUUAGAUACCCUGGUAGUCCACACCGUAAACGAUGAAUACUAGGUGUUAGGAGGUUUCCGCCUCUUAGUGCCGAAGCUAACGCAUUAAGUAUUCCGCCUGGGGAGUACGACCGCAAGGUUGAAACUCAAAGGAAUUGACGGGGACCCGCACAAGCGGUGGAGCAUGUGGUUUAAUUCGAAGCAACGCGAAGAACCUUACCAGGUCUUGACAUCCUUUGAAGCUUUUAGAGAUAGAAGUGUUCUCUUCGGAGACAAAGUGACAGGUGGUGCAUGGUCGUCGUCAGCUCGUGUCGUGAGAUGUUGGGUUAAGUCCCGCAACGAGCGCAACCCUUAUUGUUAGUUGCCAGCAUUCAGUUGGGCACUCUAGCGAGACUGCCGGUGACAAACCGGAGGAAGGCGGGGACGACGUCAGAUCAUCAUGCCCCUUAUGACCUGGGCUACACACGUGCUACAAUGGCGUAUACAACGAGUUGCCAACCUGCGAAGGUGAGCUAAUCUCUUAAAGUACGUCUCAGUUCGGACUGCAGUCUGCAACUCGACUGCACGAAGUCGGAAUCGCUAGUAAUCGCGGAUCAGCACGCCGCGGUGAAUACGUUCCCGGGUCUUGUACACACCGCCCGUCACACCAUGGGAGUUUGUAA
rnacentral:rRNA from 1 species